GCGGACGUAGUGCACGGUGCACCACUGCAGCAUUUGAACGAGGUUGAAAUUGUAAGCAGUUGAACGGGGUUCGACUCCCCGCGUCCGCC